GAUCAUGCUCAGGAUGAACGCUAGCUACAGGCUUAACACAUGCAAGUCGAGGGGGCAGCAUGGUCUUAGCUUGCUAAGGCCGAUGGCGACCGGCGCACGGGUGAGUAACGCGUAUCCAACCUGCCUUACACUCUUGGACAGCCUUCUGAAAGGGAGAUUAAUACAAGAUGUUAUCAUGAGUAAGCAUUUUCGCAUGAUUAAAGGUUUACCGGUGUAAGAUGGGGAUGCGUU
rnacentral:rRNA from 1 species